rnacentral:rRNA from 1 species
UCGCCUGUUUUAUCAAAAACAUUUCUAUUAAAAUAAUUAAUAGUAAAAUCUGCUCAAUGAAAAUUUUAAUAGCCGCUAAAUCAGUGCUAAGGUAGCAUAAUCAUUUGUCUUUUAAAUGAAGACUAGUACAAAAGAUAUUACAUUUUAAUUUAUAUCAUUAAUAUAAAAAUUAAAAUUAACAAUAAUGUAAAAAAUCAUUAAAAAUAAAGAUAGACGACAAGACCCUAUUGAACUUAACUUCAGUUUUACUGGGGCAGUAAAAUAAUUAAUAUUUUAAUUUAAAUCUUUGAGAUAAAAAUCUAUAAUAUAUAAUAAUUCAGUUACCAUAGGGAUAACAGCGUAAUAAAAUUUUAAAGCUCUUAUAAAAAAUUUAGUUUACGACCUCGAUGUUGAAUUAAUAACCUCUUUAAAGCAAAAUUUAAUCUUAGAGGAAGUCUGUUCGACUUUUUAAAAAUUACCUGAUCUGAGUUCAGACCGGA